AGAAAAAAAACACUUCAGUGAUAAAAUAGGUCAAUACCAUAAAUUCAAAAAGAAAAGUUAAAAUUAAACUAGAGUAUUGCAUUUUAUGUGUAACAAUUAUAUAAUUACACAAACAGACAUAUUUGAAAAAAUGGGAUGGAGGACUUAAAGCAAGAUAAAUAACUUUCUCUUUGUGACACUUGCCUUACUCUUAAAUUUAAGGCUUUAGGCCCAACACCAGGAUUUUCCUUUGGAAGGAAGGUAUUGCAGCUUAAAAAAUGCAUUUUCUACAUUCAAAACCAUGGAUUACCAUCCAUCCUUUUUUAGCUCUGGGAAUUCAGAUAGUGGGUUUUUACUUUUGUUUAAUUAAAUUUACAAAUUUAUAUAUACACACACACACACAUUUAUUUUACACCCUUUGCAUUUUCUGUGGACCUUGAAUACUUCAGACUGAAAUCAAACACAAGGACAUAUUUCUUUGGAAUAACAGAUUUUUGUUUUUAUUAGAAAACAAGGACUAUCCUCAAACCCCCAUUUCCAAUAGCAGUUACUACAUUUGUAUUACACCAGAAAAUUCUACCAAUAGAAGUAGAGUUUAAAACACAGACCUCUUCUAAUGCUUAGAGCCCAACUUUUUCUGUGGUUGCAAAGGUGUCAGGGGGAGGGGGGUUUAAACGAUUUAAAAAUUGUAUAAACCAGGGAAACUUGACCCCAAAGACAGUCUGUUACCUGGGAGGGGGACACCCAAAAAACAAAUAACUUUAUAAUAAAAUGAAGGUCUCUCAUAGCAGUAUAAUUAAGAGACUCAUCUCUUCACCAACUGCUUCAACAAUGACAGCUGCCACUGAUUGAAUGGGAAGCACAUGGCUCCUGCCAUUUCAGCAAAGAUUCAAAUCCAUUUUAGUGUGCACUGGCAAAAAAAAAAAAUUAAAAUUUUAUUAAAUAUUAAAGGGAACCUGUCACGACUUACCUGGCCGUCCACUCCCGUGCUGCAUUGUUAUUACAGAGGUGGGUGUUAUAGUUCUGUAACACCUACAUCCUGUCUCUUCCUCCUUCCCUCCUCUAUUGGUCUUGUCCUGCCUGGGGACUUCUUCCAGGAUGCCGACAUACUGAAUUUGCCAGCAUCUGAAUGUUGUGACUGUAAUCAGUCUGUUCCGGUACUGCUUAGCCGACCCUGCUGGUACAGAGUUUCCAUAGCAACCACAGUGUCUAUGCCAAAGAAUUGACUAACAGCUGGGAGAAAGGCCUAGUUUUAAAUAGAUUUUCUCCUAUUCUAUAUAUUUGUUAUCAAAACUGCUAGUAUAAUGUAUAGAUGAAAUUUGAUGCUCUUGAAAAUACAUUGAAUGUUGGUGAUUAUGAUGCUUAGAGUGCCAUUAAAAAAAAUGUUUUUUAUUGGAUCUGUACAUUGAGCUACAAGCAGGAUUCAAAAAUGUCCAUUCACACACCAAUAAUUGGCAAGUGAUAAUUUAACCAUGGCAAGUAGAAAUUCAUCCCUAGUGUGUCAUGAGCUCUUCAGGUUGAAAUGCAAGUAACUUGCUGGUUUGUUUAGUAGUAUAUAAUUUAAGAUUUAAACCCCAGUACAAGAAUAGCUAGCAAGUGUAUAGAUUUAAAAAAAAAAAAAUCUAAAAAAUCUAAAGGUUAAAAAAAAA